UCUGAAGUUACUCCGUGAUAUUUUACGCACUGUUGAAAAGAACGUACAAUCGUAUCAACACUGUUGCUUGGAAGAGGUAAAUGGUGCGUUUCUUGUACCUGUUUUAAUGUAUCGAGUAUACUGCAGCAUUGCCUAGGCCUCCUCGAGUGAUUCUGAAGUUACUCCGUAAUAUUUUACGCACUGUUGAAAAGAACGUACAAUCGUAUCAACACUGUUGCUUGGUGAGGAACAAUGUUUUAUGUAUUUGCUAGGAAGAGGUAAUGGUGCGUUUCUUGUACCUGUGUUUUAAUGUAUCGAGUAUACUGCAGCACUGCCUAGUAUAUGUGUAUAAAUAAAUAUGAAACUGAAUUAUUUAUUACUUUUGCUUUUACUGUCAUCAGUGAUUUGUAUACAGCAUCCAACUUGACUGUUCUUUUGACCGCACUUUGACGCCACCUUUACAUCUCUUGUAUUAAUAAAUAUUUUUUUUGCCACGUUUUUCAUUUUAUUUCCCGUUUUUGACAAUACGACCACAAUUAUAUAGCUUUUAAAUCAAUGGCUUUGCGAUCCGGCAACUCCAAAGCUCUCAUCAUCGAACGGGAGAGAAUGUGAGAAACGAACUUUAUUUAACGCUGAAGAUGGCUCCAAGCUGGAGCCGAAACGUCCGUUUUAGGAUGCGUUCGG